rnacentral:rRNA from 1 species
CUACGGGAGGCUCCAGUGAGGAAUUUUGCGCAAUGGGCGAAAGCCUGACGCAGCAACGCCGCGUGAGUGAUGAAGGCCUUCGGGUCGUAAAGCUCUGUCAAGUGGGAAGAACCUAUGUAAUGUUAAUAUCAUUAUAUACUGACGGUACCACUGAAGGAAGCACCGGCUAACUCCGUGCCAGCAGCCGCGGUAAUACGGGGGGUGCAAGCGUUAUUCGGAAUCAUUGGGCGUAAAGGGCACGUAGGCGGCCUGGUAAGUCAGAUGUGAAAGCCCGGGGCUUAACCCCGGAAGUGCAUUUGAUACUGUCAGGCUUGAGUAUGGGAGAGGGAAGUGGAAUUCCUGGUGUAGAGGUGAAAUUCGUAGAUAUCAGGAGGAACACCGGUGGCGAAGGCGACUUCCUGGACCAAUACUGACGCUGAGGUGCGAAGGCGUGGGUAGCAAACAGGAUUAGAUACCCGCGUAGUC